rnacentral:rRNA from 1 species
UACGUAGGGACCAAGCGUUGUUCGGAUUUACUGGGCGUAAAGGGCGCGUAGGCGGCAAUUCAAGUCAUCUGUGAAAUCUCCGGGCUUAACCCGGAACGGUCAGAUGAUACUGCUUUGCUAGAGUACAGAAGGGGCAAUCGGAAUUCUUGGUGUAGCGGUGAAAUGCGUAGAUAUCAAGAGGAACACCUGAGGUGAAGACGGGUUGCUGGGCCGACACUGACACUGAGGCACGAAAGCGUGGGGAGCAAACAGG